UCCCUGGUGGUCCAGUGGCUAAGACUUCACGUUCCCAAUACAGGAGGCCCAGGUUUGAUUCCUGGUCAGGGAA
rnacentral:tRNA from 1 species